rnacentral:rRNA from 1 species
GGACGAACGCUGGCGGCGUGCUUAACACAUGCAAGUCGAACGAAGAGCGAUGGAAGCUUGCUUCUAUCAAUCUUAGCGGCGAACGGGUGAGUAACGCGUAAACAACCUGCCUUCAGGAUGGGGACAACAGACGGAAACGACUGCUAAUACCGAAUACGCUUGGAAGACCGCAUGAUUUUCCAAGGAAAGGGUGGCCUCUACCUGUAAGCUAUCGCCUGAAGAGGGGUUUGCGUCUGAUUAGGCAGUUGGUGAGGUAACGGCCCACCAAACCUACGAUCAGUAGCCGGUCUGAGAGGAUGAACGGCCACACUGGAACUGAGACACGGUCCAGACUCCUACGGGAGGCAGCAGUGGGGAAUCUUCCGCAAUGGGCGAAAGCCUGACGGAGCAACGCCGCGUGAGGGAAGACGGUUUUCGGAUUGUAAACCUCUGUUUUCGGUGACGAACAAAUGACGGUAACCGAGUAGGAAGCCACGGCUAACUACGUG